UACGUAGGGUGCAAGCGUUGUCCGGAAUUAUUGGGCGUAAAGAGCUCGUAGGCGGUCUGUCGCGUCGGCUGUGAAACCCCGAGGCUCAACCUCGGGCCUGCAGUCGAUACGGGCAGACUAGAGUUCGGUAGGGGAGACUGGAAUUCCUGGUGUAGCGGUGAAAUGCGCAGAUAUCAGGAGGAACACCGGUGGCGAAGGCGGGUCUCUGGGCCGAAACUGACGCUGAGGAGCGAAAGCGUGGGGAGCAAACAGG
rnacentral:rRNA from 1 species